GACGAACGCUGACGGUGUGCUUUAGACAUGCAAGUCGAACGAGAAAGCCCUUCGGGUUAGUAAAGUGGCGAACGGGUGAGUAACACGUGGGCAAUCUGCCCCUCGCAGGGGGACGAACCGGAGGAAACUCCGGCUAAUACCCCGUAAGUUCAAAGGGAGGCAUCUCUCUUCGAAGAAAGGUAGCUUCGGCCAUCCGGCGAGGGAUGAGCCCGCGGUGCAUUAGCUAGUUGGUGGGGUAACGGCCCACCAAGGCGACGAUGCAUAGCUGGUCUGAGAGGAUGAUCAGCCACACUGGGACUGAGACACGGCCCAGACUCCUACGGGAGGCAGCAGUCGGGAAUCUUGCGCAAUGGGCGAAAGCCUGACGCAGCAACACCGUGUGUGU
rnacentral:rRNA from 1 species